rnacentral:rRNA from 1 species
GACGAACGCUGGCGGCGUGCUUAACACAUGCAAGUCGAACGGAAAGGCCCUGCUUUUGUGGGGUGCGCGAGUGGCGAACGGGGGAGAAACACGCGAGGAACCUGCCCUUGACUUUGGGAUAAAUCCAGGAAACUGGGGCGAAUACCGGAUAGGAGCUCCUGAUGCAUGGGGGGGGUGGGAAAGUGUCGGCGGUUGGGGAUGGAAUCGCGGCUUAUCAGCUUGUUGGUGGGGUAGUGGCGUACCACGGCAUUGACGGGUAGCCGGCCUGGGAGGGUGACCGGCCACAUUGGGCCUGGGGUAGCGGCCAGACUCCUACGGGAGGCAGCGGUGGGGAAUAUUGCGCGAUGGGCGGCAGCCUGAUGCAGCGACGCCGCGUGCGGGAUGACGGCCUGCGGGUUGUAACCCGCUUUCGCGUGUGACGCAGCGUGAGUGACGGUAAUGGGUCAAGAAGCACCGGCUAACUACGUG